rnacentral:rRNA from 1 species
UACGUAGGGUGCAAGCGUUAAUCGGAAUUACUGGGCGUAAAGCGUGCGCAGGCGGUGAUGUAAGACAGGUGUGAAAUCCCCGGGCUUAACCUGGGAACUGCAUUUGUGACUGCAUCGCUGGAGUACGGUAGAGGGGGAUGGAAUUCCGCGUGUAGCAGUGAAAUGCGUAGAUAUGCGGAGGAACACCGAUGGCGAAGGCAAUCCCCUGGACCUGUACUGACGCUCAUGCACGAAAGCGUGGGGAGCAAACAGG